rnacentral:rRNA from 1 species
CAGCUCUUCAAGUGGUCGGGAUAAUUAUUGGGCUUAAAGUGUCCGUAGCCGGUUUAGUAAGUUCCUGGGUAAAAUCGGGGUAGCUUAACUAUCUGUAUGCUAGGAAUACUGCUAUACUAGAGGACGGGAGAGGUCUGAGGUACUACAGGGGUAGGGGUGAAAUCUUAUAAUCCUUGUAGGACCACCAGUGGCGAAGGCGUCAGACUGGAACGUGCCUGACGGUGAGGGACGAAAGCCAGGGGAGCGAACCGGAUUAGAUACCCGGGUAGUCCUGGCCGUAAACGAUGCAUACUAGGUGAUGGUAUGGCCAUGAGCCAUAUCAGUGCCGUAGGGAAACCGUUAAGUGUGCCGCCUGGGAAGUACGGUCGCAAGGCUA